CCUACGGGAGGCAGCAGUGGGGAAUAUUGCACAAUGGGGGAAACCCUGAUGCAGCAACGCCGCGUGAGUGAUGACGGCCUUCGGGUUGUAAAGCUCUGUCUUCAGGGACGAUAAUGACGGUACCUGACGAGGAAGCCACGGCUAACUACGUGCCAGCAGCCGCGGUAAUACGUAGGGGGCGAGCGUUGUCCGGAUUUACUGGGCGUAAGGGGAGCGUAGGCGGACAUUUAAGUGAGAUGUGAAAUACCCGGGCUCAACUUAGGUGCUGCAUUUCAAACUGGAUGUCUAGAGUGCAGGAGAGGAGAAUGGAAUUCCUGGUGUAGCGGUGAAAUGCGUAGAGAUUAGGAAGAACACCAGUGGCGAAGGCGAUUCUCUGGACUGUAACUGACGCUGAGGCUCGAAAGCGUGGGGAGCAAACAGGAUUAGAUACCCCAGUAGUC
rnacentral:rRNA from 1 species